AGACUGUCAGUGUCUUAUCAUGUAACGCUGGGGCUUGUCUCUAGUCCUUUAUCCAGGUUUUAGAGCUUUUACUGAAUACAGACUGUCAGUGUCUUAUCAUGUAACGCUGGGGCUUGUCUCUAGUCCUUUAUCCAGGUGUUAGAGCUUUUACUGAAUACAGACUGUCAGUGUCUUAUCAUGUAACGCUGGGGCUUGUCUCUAGUCCUUUAUCCAGGUUUUAGAGCUUUUACUGAAUACAGACUGUCAGUGUCUUAUCAUGUAACGCUGGGGCUUGUCUCUAGUCCUUUAUCCAGGUGUUAGAGCUUUUACUGAAUACAGACUGUCAGUGUCUUAUCAUGUAACGCUGGGGCUUGUCUCUAGUCCUUUAUCCAGGUGUUAGAGCUUUUACUGAAUACAGACUGUCAGUGUCUUAUCAUGUAACGCUGGGGCUUGUCUCUAGUCCUUUAUCCAGGUGUUAGAGCUUUUACUGAAUACAGACUGUCAGUGUCUUAUCAUGUAACGCUGGGGCUUGUCUCUAGUCCUUUAUCCAGGUGUUAGAGCUUUUACUGAAUACAGACUGUCAGUGUCUUAUCAUGUAACGCUGGGGCUUGUCUCUAGUCCUUUAUCCAGGUGUUAGAGCUUUUACUGAAUACAGACUGUCAGUGUCUUAUCAUGUAACGCUGGGGCUUGUCUCUAGUCCUUUAUCCAGGUGUUAGAGCUUUUACUGAAUACAGACUGUCAGUGUCUUAUCAUGUAACGCUGGGGCUUGUCUCUAGUCCUUUAUCCAGGUGUUAGAGCUUUUACUGAAUACAGACUGUCAGUGUCUUAUCAUGUAACGCUGGGGCUUGUCUCUAGUCCUUUAUCCAGGUGUUAGAGCUUUUACUGAAUACAGACUGUCAGUGUCUUAUCAUGUAACGCUGGGGCUUGUCUCUAGUCCUUUAUCCAGGUGUUAGAGCUUUUACUGAAUACAGACUGUCAGUGUCUUAUCAUGUAACGCUGGGGCUUGUCUCUAGUCCUUUAUCCAGGUGUUAGAGCUUUUACUGAAUACAGACUGUCAGUGUCUUAUCAUGUAACGCUGGGGCUUGUCUCUAGUCCUUUAUCCAGGUGUUAGAGCUUUUACUGAAUACAGACUGUCAGUGUCUUAUCAUGUAACGCUGGGGCUUGUCUCUAGUCCUUUAUCCAGGUGUUAGAGCUUUUACUGAAUACAGACUGUCAGUGUCUUAUCAUGUAACGCUGGGGCUUGUCUCUAGUCCUUUAUCCAGGUGUUAGAGCUUUUACUGAAUACAGACUGUCAGUGUCUUAUCAUGUAACGCUGGGGCUUGUCUCUAGUCCUUUAUCCAGGUGUUAGAGCUUUUACUGAAUACAGACUGUCAGUGUCUUAUCAUGUAACGCUGGGGCUUGUCUCUAGUCCUUUAUCCAGGUGUUAGAGCUUUUACUGAAUACAGACUGUCAGUGUCUUAUCAUGUAACGCUGGGGCUUGUCUCUAGUCCUUUAUCCAGGUGUUAGAGCUUUUACUGAAUACAGACUGUCAGUGUCUUAUCAUGUAACGCUGGGGCUUGUCUCUAGUCCUUUAUCCAGGUGUUAGAGCUUUUACUGAAUACAGACUGUCAGUGUCUUAUCAUGUAACGCUGGGGCUUGUCUCUAGUCCUUUAUCCAGGUGUUAGAGCUUUUACUGAAUACAGACUGUCAGUGUCUUAUCAUGUAACGCUGGGGCUUGUCUCUAGUCCUUUAUCCAGGUGUUAGAGCUUUUACUGAAUACAGACUGUCAGUGUCUUAUCAUGUAACGCUGGGGCUUGUCUCUAGUCCUUUAUCCAGGUGUUAGAGCUUUUACUGAAUACAGACUGUCAGUGUCUUAUCAUGUAACGCUGGGGCUUGUCUCUAGUCCUUUAUCCAGGUGUUAGAGCUUUUACUGAAUACAGACUGUCAGUGUCUUAUCAUGUAACGCUGGGGCUUGUCUCUAGUCCUUUAUCCAGGUGUUAGAGCUUUUACUGAAUACAGACUGUCAACACACACAGUGUUUACUUUACCUUAGUACUUCCAUAAAGCAGGCCAAUAACAGAAAUACAUGGACAUUUACACAAAGGCAUUGGGGGUUUACAUUGACAAGGAAAACGUGGGUAUUUACUGUAUAUACAAAGCAUCAAGACGUACGUGAGACAGUAGUGGUGCCGCUUCACUGGUAUCUAACUGUAUUCUGUGCUGGUUGGUUCU